AUUGAACGCUGGCGGCAGGCCUAACACAUGCAAGUCGAGCGAGCGGCGGACGGGUGAGUAAUGUAUGGGGACUGCCCGAUAGAGGGGGAUAACUACUGGAAACGGUAGCUAAUACCGCAUACUAUCGGAUAACCCAUAUGGGAGUAGCUAGUAGGUGAGGUAAUGGCUCACCUAGGCGACGAUCCCUAGCUGGUCUGAGAGGAUGAUCAGGCAACUGUGGACUGGGCAACGGCCCAGACCCCUAGUGAGGCAGCAGUGGGGAAUAUUGCACAAUGGGCGCAAGCCUGAUGCAUCCAUGCCGCGUGUAUGAAGAAGGCCCUAGGGUUGUAAAGUACUUUCAGUCGGGAGGCGUUACCGACAGAAGAAGCACCGGCUAACUCCGUGCCAGCCGCCGCGGUAAUUC
rnacentral:rRNA from 1 species